UUGUGACACUUUUUUGUUUUUUGUAGGGAAGCAUUUCUCCUUGAAUAGAUCUGCUGAUAUGGAUGACCCUGAGAUUUUGACAUGUGUGAUCAUGCAGCAAAAUUGAGGAAAACCUGUUUUUAAUGCUUUUUUAACUAAAAAUGACUGGUUUGUAAGUUGAAGUUGAUGACUCAGAAAGGAAGAGAGAAUUUGAUCCUGAGUUUUCUGCUGUGUGGAUCCUAACGAAUAGUGUCGCAACGAGGCUGAAAAUCAUAUUAGCUGCUUUUAGGACAGAAACAUAAAUCACUCAGGUAAAAUAACCUUGUAAAGACAAGUAAGAGUAUAUUGCAGAGGCCUUGGCUAGGUUCAUGAUGACAUAGGACCUUGUCUGAACAUAAUGAUUUCAAAAUGUGAGCUUAAAAUGACACUGAAAACCAGUCAAAGUGCCUCACUAGAUUUUUCCAGUUUCAAGAUUUUCAAUAGAAAAUCUUAGCUUGACAUAUGAAAACAUUGAAUACAUAGAAAUGGAAAGUGUAGUAUUGUACUUUGCCAGUUCCUCACGUAUCCUUUAUUUACAUGGAUACUCUGAGCUAAUUUCUUUUUUCUUUUUUCUGUACUUUGUAUGUUGUUGAAAGCUAAAAGGAAACUUACCCUUGGAUCACAGAAGGUGCAGGCACCUAGUGAGACAUAAACAAGGACAUGGUAAAAUGAGACUAUACAUCUUGGAUAAAAAAUGUGCCACAGUUCUAGGGUUCUAAGUGAUGUCCAGGAAGAAGGAGGAAUAAUAUUUAUGGAGCAGAUAUUGUGGAACACAAGACAAGAGUCUCACUUUAUUGCCCUUGGUGGAGUGCUAUGGCAUCACACAGCUCACAGCAUUCUCCAGCUCUUGAGCUUAGGCGAUUCUCUUGCCUCAGCCUCCCGAGUAGCUGAGACUACAGGCGCCCGCCAUAAUGCCUGCCUACUUUUUUGUUGCAGUUUGGCUGGAGCCAUAUUUGAGCCUGCCACCCUCAGUAUACGGGACUGGAGCCCUACCCACAGAGCCACAGGCGCUGCCCUAAUUAUGUAAAUACCUUAUUGUAAAUUUGUUAAUGCUGCUGUCGUCGUAGCAACAAAAUUAUUGAUAAAUAGGCUCAAGAGCAAUAUAUAACUUACACUUGCAGGAGAAAAUGACAUGACAAUGCUUUUACCCGAUUCUCAUAUAGAAAGAAUAAUUUGGCACUGGAUAAGAUAUGAAUAGCAUAUAAAUGAAGUGUCAUGUAAAUUCAUUUGAUAUUUUUGUGGAUGUACUGAGUAUCCUAAUUAUUCUUUUUUUUCCUGUUUUUUUUUUUUGCUGUUAACAUUCAAGAUAUAAAUGACUUCCUUAAGGAGAUUUUAUACUACCUCUUGGAACAAUACAAAGUUCUGUAUGUGUUCCCUUGGUUGCAUGACAACAUACAAGACAACCUUGUAAAUAGAUACAAAAUUUUAGUUUUUAGCAUCUAGUCUUUCUAGAUGUACAGAGUCUCACAAAGUAUAAUUUUGUAAAUAAGUCAUUGUAAAAUAUCAUGAUUUAAUUGUGUUUUGCAAAUGUUUUCACAAUGAAAUUGAUAAAAUUGUGGGCUUCUUAACCUGUACGUAUUUUGGUAUUUUUUUUCGGGGGGGAUUUGUUAAGGUGAGGAAAAAGAUAAAAGGGUGUAUUUUUAUUUUAAACUUAAUUCUAACUAGAAAAAAACAUGUAUUUUAGCCAUUGUUUAGUGAUUAUAUUGCACAUGAAAAACCCAAGCCAUAAUUUUGUAGUUAUAUUGCUGAUGGGACAUUAUAUAAAUAUAAUUUUAUAGUCAUUGUAGGAAAUGUGUUUUGUAAGAAAAAUUUUCUUCUACCUCUUUGAAUUAUGUUUUAUAUUUACUUGGACUGCAUGACAACAUUCAAGACACUUUGUAAAUAAGAAAUGAGUAUGACAUUUAAAAAAAUCUAUUCUGGAUGCAUGGAGUCUCAACAAAGUAUAAAUUGUAAAUACUUUAUUGUAACGUAGUUGGCUUCUCUAAAUGUGUUGGUAUCAUGAUAAUCAAUAAUUGGUCUUCUUAGGACUAUGUAACAUUCUUGUUUUGGUUGGUUUUGGGGACCACAAUAGGUGGCCUCCAUGUCUUCCCAAAUGUUAGGGUCUUGUGUAUAAGAACAACCAACUUUGGUCUGUGUGUGCCUUGUGCACGUAUCCUUAUACAAAAACAAGGAAACAACAACCCUUGGAUAUAUUUUUAUCUAUAAAGAAUGAGAAAAAAAUGAGAAGGAAAGGGAAUUAUAAUUUCAGAGAUACACUGAGUGUUAGAAGACUGCUAAAAUCGUUUUUUUUUUUUUUUAGCUAUAUGUACUUUGGCAAAUUUAUUUAUGUGAAUGCACAUGACUGUUUUAAAUGUGUAUUCACAUGCACGUCUAAAAUUGGUUUUAGGCUGGGUGUCAUGGCUCAUGUCUAUAGUAUUAGCACUCUGGGAUGCCAAGGCAGGUGGAUUGCUGGAGCUCAGGAGUUCAAGACCAGCUUAAGCAAGAACAGUUAGUAAAAAUAGAAAAACUACAUGGGUGUGGUGGUGGGCGCCUAGGCAGGAGGAUUACUUGAGCCAAAGAGACUGAGGUUAGUGUGAGCUAUGACACUGCAGCACUAUACCUAGGGUGACAGAGAGAGAGACUCUGUAUCUCUCUAAAAAAAAUAAUAAGUAAAACUAAAAUUGUUUUUAAUGGUAUAGAUUUGAUAUAGUUUAUUUCUUUUUUUGAUUUUUUGACAUAGCUUCUUUUUGUAUUAAAUCAUAGCUGUGUACAUUAUGCAAUCAUGGGGUAUCAUGCGCUGAUUUUAUAUACAAUUGGAAAUAUUUUCAUCACUCUGGUUAACAUAGCCUUUCUGGCUUUUCUUAGUUAUUGUGUUAAAACAUUUAUAUUCUAUGUUUAGUAAGUUUCACAUGUAUCCUUGUUCUUGUUUACUACUUUACAUUAUAUUUUUAGUUUUAAAUUUAUGGAGAAGAGGUCUUAAAACUUGUACAUAUUUUACCCUCAAACCCAAACAAUAAAAAGUAUAAUAAAAACUUGUACAUAUUUACAGAAUAUUGUUAUGGCUAAGUGUAUGUUAAUUUUUAUAUAAAGUAAUAAGCAGGUUCAUAACCAUUUGAUCUCUAAUUUUUUUCAUAUUUAUAAAUCCAUAUAAGAACAGAACAACUGUGUUGGUGGACAGCUGUUUUUCUGAUUUAUUUUAACAACUCACCUAUAAUAUUUAUUAUUUAUAUCAUGUGACAAUCAGAGAUAAAUGUCAAAGGUGAUGUAAAUUAGGAAAAAUUUUUAUGAAGAUUCUAGAUGUAACUAGUGUUGAUCAAAUUACUAUUCAGUUCAUCUUUUUAAAUAGGACAAUCAAAUUGAGAGUAUGUAAAAUUUGCAAGUGUUAUAAUUUGAAAUUUGAUACUGGGAUUUUUCUAAUCCAAUUCUUAACAAAUGUACAAAGAACAAAUACACUACAGGUUCAGUAUAAAAACAAUGAUAUGACCAUCUGAAAUGUUUAUUAACAGAGAAAAGAGUGUGAUUAUGCGACGAUUGUAAUUAUAAUGGUGAAAACAUAUUCCCAUUUGGAAGGGAAUUUUGUAGUCUUCUAAAUUGCUAUUUAAAAUUACAUCACUUUUCUGUAAGCAAAAACUAAUUUCAUAUUUACAGUGGUAUAUGCAUAGGCCUGUUGUUUUUCUAAUUGAAAUAUAAUAGUUAAUUAUAAAAAUGUGAAUUAUACAUGGAGAGUGACAGUCUAAUGAUUAAUACUUAAUAUCAUGAGUAUGGUGAUUAUUUUAACAUUCUAUUUGGAAUUUUUUUAACACAUUAAAAAUAAAGAUUGUAUAUAUUUGUAUAUUGCUACAUUCAAAACUCUGGAAUGAAUGUAUGUAUGUUAAAAGAAAAUUGGAUAAAGAUGGCAAAGUUUUAACAGUCCUAUGCAGAGAAAGGAGGAUAGGAUGACUACUUCUGGCUGGGCAUGGUGGCUCAUCCUGUAUCCUACCACUCUGGGAGGAUGAGAGGGGUGGAUUGCUUGAGCUCAGGAAUUUGAGACUAGCCCAAGCAAGAGUGAGACUCUGUUUCUACUAAAAAAUAGAAAAAAAAAAAAUUAGCUGAGCAUUGGGAUGGCACCUGUAGUCCCAGCUACUUAGAAGUCUGAGGCAAGAGCAACUCUUGAGCCAGAGCCCAAUAGUUUGAGGUUGCUGUGAGCUAUGAUGUCACAGCACUCUACUCAGGGCAACACAAUGAGACUCUGUCUCAAUUAAAAAGAAAAAAAGGAAAAGAAAAAGAAUUGAUUCUUUCUGCAUUUGGUAUUUUAUGAGGUAUUUUAAAAAUGAACAUUUAAACAAGAACGGAAAUUUUAAAGAGAACCAAUUGUGCCUGUCUUCAUCUUUGCUCAUCAACAUCGUGGGAGUAUUGGCCUGUUGUAUCCAAUUUUUUUAUUCCCAGUGGCCAUUGUGAGUGGUUUUUGAACGAUCUUAUGAGGAGCAUAUGAUUUAUAUGCUACUUCUAAUGCGGCAGAGCCCUACAGUGAAACAAAGGGUUGAAUUACACAUGAGAAGAAGGCAAAAGAUGGAGGUGAUGACUGAAAAGGAACCUAUGCCAUUAUGUCUACCACCAGCUUCACUAAAACCAAAAUGUGGUCUUCAUAAUGCACAGAGACUCCUCAUUUAUGUGUGUUGCAGUGAGCAGUCUUUGCAGAUGAAAAAAAAAACUAGAACAAGAAACCUCAUUUUUGGAAAAUGACCUACAGAGUGUCAUUGAAGUGAAUUAUAAUUAUGUGUGGUGAUUGUCUCCAUUGUUCCUUUUGGACUAAAUUUUGGGAGCUGGAAUGACUCAGACAUUGUUGCACAGAAUCUCAGGAUGGAGGAAUUAAAAGGGCUUCACAACAGUGCUUUGAAAAAAUAUUCCCUGUCUAUACUUGCAUUUUUUUUCUCUCAAUUGAUGCUUAGAAUUAUUUUGCAAGUUGGGAAAAAAUGCAGUUUUAAUUUGUUUUGCACCAAAUUUAAUAGAUUAAUUAGGAGAGAAUAAAUCUCUUUAAAACUGAGUCUUCCUAUCCAACCGCAAGGAUCUUCCUCCUCAUCUACCAUCCCACCAGCCCGCCAGCCUAUAGCUUCCUGCAGGCUCCAUCACAGUGGCUUUCACCACUUCCCUGUAUUAAUAAUUUUAAAGUCAGAAGAUAAUGAAGUCAUUUGAAGUUAGCCAUCUAGCCAGGCCAACUGGUUCUCCAUCUGUAGGAAAAAGGCAUGGGGUCUCUCUGUGUUGCCCAGGCUGGUCUUGAACUCCUGGCCAUAAGCAUAUUACACAAGCAAGGACCAAAGAGACUUUCUUGUGGUAUAUAAAGUAGCACUGCGAAACUAUACAGGAAAUUCCAAUCAAAGAAUGAAUAGGUGUUUGAAUGUUGUGAAGAUGAUUUGGAAUAGGAGACAGGUACUCUAAUCACAAUAAAUGGCCAGAAGAAAGAAGGAAAAUGAUAGUUUCAUCAUUUUCACAUAUCUCCUCUGUGUUCUCCCAGGUGGUUGACCAUGUGGACAAGAGGAUCAUAGGAAACUUUCCAUAGUGCUUCAGUCUACAGUAUCACUCAAUGCUGUUAUUAUUCUUCCUUUCUUGGAUAUUGUUGCAUUUUGUAUCUUAAAGGCCAUAGCUUUUAUAGAAGUAAGUGCAGAAAUAGAAAUAACCUGCUUUAUUGGCAAGUGGUUGUCUGAUGUUACCAAGUACUUCUUUGUGCUGCCUUCAUGGUACUUUUCUUUAUGGUUGUAUAUUACCUCAUUGUAUUUUAAUUUAUAUUUUACAAAUGGAAAUGAAAUUUGUGCUUGGUGAAUAUAAUUAGAUUAUUUUAUAACUCCAUUUACAUCUUGUUUACUCCUGAUGAUAGCUGGACUUUUUCAAAAGCUAGAUGUUUAUGUUGAGCCACUUUUGUUUUUUCAUUCAUAACAUAAUUUCUUUGUCAUUUAUCAGAUGCUUAUAAGUUUUUGGACAGGUACCCCCCCCAAAUUAUCUUAAACAUUUGUAUUAUCUGAACUAUACCUUUUGAAGUUACCCUUUUUAUUGAACCUAGUGAGUCUCACUCUAGAUCAUUAUCUGAGACUGUCUGUUGUUCAACUCUUCCCUAAUGCCUAAACCUAGGGCUUGGAUGCAGACCCUUGUUAUGUCAUUCUGAACCAUGAUGAUAACAUCUUAUAGGUCAUGCAAUCACAUCAUUUCUUGAUUAUUACUGAUACACUCUUCUUUGGGAUUGGAAUAAGUCUCAGUAUACCAAAUAGAUUUCUUUUAUCCAUAUUAUCCUGAUUGUUGUUUAUUUUCUGCUUAACCUAAGUGGGCUUAAUAUAAAAUAUUGUUUGUUUGAAAUUGUGAUGAUCUAUUUUUUGAGAACUAACAUAUUGCCUAUAAUCUGUCUUAACAGAUAGGAUUAUAAUAUAGAGGGGCCCAAUAAUAUACAGGUAUCUAAUAAUAUUACCUCUGUUAUUGCUACCAGUGUUAGCAAUAUAAACAAUUGCUAGAGGCAAAAGGAAAAAAGGAGGGUAAAAAAGGAAAAAAGAGAAAAAAAAUUGCUACAAUUUCAAGACUGAAUGAUACUCCCUUACCUUGAAUGUCGAUUACUUUUACCAACAGUAGACUUAAUGGUUUAAAAACCUCAUAAAUUUGCGCAGUCAUCAGUAGCUUUAUUAUUGUAUUAUUUUGUUUAUUUCCAGUUAGAUUCUAAGGUAGAAUUUGUGUUCCCUUUAUACUCAUUUAUUUUACCUGCAGAGAAGUUCCUUUUAUACUUCCCGAGUUGAUUUGUCUCAACUCUGUCUAUUCCAAUCCUAAACUGUUUCUUGUGUUAAUAUUUUCCAAGUUCAGAAUGUUCUUCUGGACAUAAGAUCAAUGUCAUAAUCACAAGACUUCAUGUUAUACAAAACCCAAGGCAAUACCUAGUCAAUAUAGCAUUUUGUAGUCUGUGCCAGAGGUCAACAAACUGUAUAGGAGCAGACAUCAGAUGCUAUUGUAGCUAUUCAGUUUUGCCCCUCUAGUGUGAAAAUAGCUAUAGCUAUAACCAGUUUAUAGACAAAUAAAUAUGGCUAAGUUCUAGUAAAAUGUAUAUACAAAAAACAAGUGAUGAGCUAGAUUUUGACUAUAUCUUGUAGUUUUCUAAUCCCUAGACUGAUGUAUUAGCUAGAUAUAAAACUAGAAGGAAGAAGACGUCUUUUCUUCCCAUUUUAUUUUUAUGAAUCCUCAACAUGCAAGCACUCUGGGAGGCCAAGGCAGGUGGAUUGCUUUAGCUCAGGAAUUGGAGAUCAGCCUGAGGAAGAGCAAGACCCAUCUCUACUUUAAAAAAAAAAAAAAAAUAGAGAAAUAGAAAAGAAAACUAAUUGGGUAUCAUGGCAGGUGUCUGUAAUCCCAACUACUUGGGAGGCUGAGGCAAGAGGAUUGAUUGAGCCUAAGAGUUUGAGGUUGCUGUUGAAUGCUGACCUUAAAAAUUGGGAAUAGUAUGCCAUUAAACUUUUUUUUUUUUAUUAAAUCAUAGCUGUGUACAUCAAUAUGAUCAUGGGGCACCAUACACUUGGUUCAUAGAAUAUUUGACACAUUUUCAUCUCAUUAGUUGACAUAGCCCUCCUGGCAUUUUCUUAGUUACUUUGCCAAGAUAUUUACAUUCCACAUUUGCCAAGCCUCACAUGUACCCUUGUAAGAUGCAUCACAGGUGUGAUCCUUUCAAUCUCCCUCCCUCUACCCACCUCCCCCCUCCCUCCCCACGCUUUCCCCCUUCCCCUUGUUCUUAGGUUGUAACUUGGUUAUAGCUUUCAUGCCAUUAAACUUUUGAAUUCUUGGAUCUUAAAGCCAGAUUGAGUGUUGUAACUUUUUUCUUUUAAAUCUCUUUUCUACUUUGACUUGGCACUUAGUUCACUGAAAUAGCCACCAAGAAUGAAUGAGUGAGUAAUAUAAAGCAAUCUGUGAUAAUUCAUACUCCAUUUUCAAUUCCUACUUCCUGGGGAUGA